UCUCAGUGGUCCUGCUCCUCCUGGAUCUCAGCGGCCCUGCCCCUCCUGGAUCUCAGUGGCCCGGCCCCGCCUGGAUCUCACCGGUCCUGUCCCUCGUGGAUCUCAGCCGCCUUGCCUGGGUCUCAGUGGUCCUGCCCCCCCUGGAUCUUGGGGUCCUGUCCCUCCUGGAUCUCAGCGGUCCUGUCCCUCCUGGAUAUCAGGGGUCCUGUCCCUCCUGGAUCUCACUGGCCCUGCCCUGCCUGGAUCUCAGCGGCCCUGCCCUGCCUG